AACGAACGCUGGCGGCAGGCUUAACACAUGCAAGUCGAACGCACUCUUCGGAGUGAGUGGCAGACGGGUGAGUAACGCGUGGGAACCUACCUAGAAGUUUGGAAUAACACAGAGAAAUUUGUGCUAAUACCGGAUACGCCCUACGGGGGAAAGAUUUAUCGCUUCUAGAUGGGCCCGCGUUGGAUUAGCUAGAUGGUGGGGUAAUGGCCCACCAUGGCGACGAUCCAUAGCUGGUCUGAGAGGAUGAUCAGCCACACUGGGACUGAGACACGGCCCAGACUCCUACGGGAGGCAGCAGUGGGGAAUAUUGGACAAUGGGCGAAAGCCUGAUCCAGCCAUGCCGCGUGAGUGAUGAAGGCCUUAGGGUUGUAAAGCUCUUUCGCUGGGGAAGAUAAUGACGGUACCCAGUAAAGAAGCCCCGGCUAACUUCG
rnacentral:rRNA from 2 species